GACGAACGCUGGCGGCGCGCCUAACACAUGCAAGUCGAACGAGAGAUGAAGAGCUUGCUCUUCAAAUCGAGUGGCGAACGGGUGAGUAACGCGUGAGGAACCUGCCUCAAAGAGGGGGACAACAGUUGGAAACGACUGCUAAUACCGCAUAAGCCCACGGCAUCGUUUGGCAAUCAAAGGAGCAAUCCGCUGAAAGAUGGGCUCGCGUCUGAUUAGAUAGUUGGUGAGGUAACGGCUCACCAAGUCGACGAUCAGUAGCCGGACUGAGAGGUUGAUCGGCCACAUUGGACUGAGACACGG
rnacentral:rRNA from 1 species